rnacentral:rRNA from 1 species
UAAAAACCCCGACUUCGGAAGGGGUGUAUUUAUUAGAUACAAAACCAAUGCCCUUCGGGGCUCUUUGGUGAUUCAUGAUAACUAUACGAAUCGCACGGCCUUGCGCCGGCGAUGGUUCAUUCAAAUUUCUUCCCUAUCAACUUUCGAUGUUUGGGUAUUGGCCAAACAUGGUUGCAACGGGUAGCGGAGGGUUAGGGCUCGACCCCGGAGAAGGAGCCUGAGAAACGGCUACUACAUCCAAGGAAGGCAGCAGGCGCGCAAAUUACCCAAUCCCGACUCGGGGAGGUAGUGACAAUAAAUACUGAUACAGGGCCCUUUCGGGCCUUGUAAUUGGAAUGAGUACAAUUUAAAUCCCUUAACGAGGAACAAUUGGAGGGCAAGUCUGGUGCCAGCAGCCGCGGUAAUUCCAGCUCCAAUAGCGUAUAUUAAAGUUGUUGUGGUUAAAAAGCUCGUAGUUGAACCUUGGGCCUGGCUGGCCGGUCCGCCUCACCGCGUGCACUGGUCCGGCCGGGCCUUUCCCUCUGUGGAACCCCAUACCCUUCACUGGGCGUGGCGGGGAAACAGGACAUUUACUUU